rnacentral:rRNA from 1 species
UACGGGGGGGGCAAGCGUUGUUCGGAAUUACUGGGCGUAAAGGGCUCGUAGGCGGCCAACUAAGUCAGACGUGAAAUCCCUCGGCUUAACCGGGGAACUGCAUCUGAUACUGGAUGGCUUGAGUUCGGGAGAGGGAUGUGGAAUUCCAGGUGUAGCGGUGAAAUGCGUAGACAUCUGGAGGAACACCGGUGGCGAAGGCGGCAUCCUGGACCGACACUGACGCUGAUGAGCGAAAGCCAGGGGAGCAAACGGG